AUUGAACGCUGGCGGCAUGCUUUACACAUGCAAGUCGAACGGCAGCACGGGCUUCGGCCUGGUGGCGAGUGGCGAACGGGUGAGUAAUAUAUCGGAACGUACCCAGGAGUGGGGGAUAACGUAGCGAAAGUUACGCUAAUACCGCAUACGAUCUAUGGAUGAAAGCAGGGGACCGCAAGGCCUUGUGCUCCUGGAGCGGCCGAUAUCUGAUUAGCUAGUUGGUGAGGUAAAGGCUCACCAAGGCGACGAUCAGUAGCUGGUCUGAGAGGACGACCAGCCACACUGGACCUGAGACACGGUCCAGACUCCUACGGGAGGCAGCAGUGGGAAAUUUUGGACAAUGGGCGCAAGCCUGAUCCAGCAAUGCCGCGUGAGUGAAGAAGGCCUUCGGGUUGUAAAGCUCUUUUGUCAGGGAAGAAACGGUAGAGGCUAAUAUCCUUUGCUAAUGACGGUACCUGAAGAAUAAGCACCGGCUAACUACGU
rnacentral:rRNA from 1 species